rnacentral:misc_RNA from 1 species
GGUAUCUCAGGAGCUGCAGAUGACAAAGUUGUGAUGUUUAGUUUGGAUCAUUCCACGGGGACAUGCCUGGUGAAGAAAGAAAUUACUUUGGAACGGGCUGGGAUAGCAAAGGUCUCUAUUCGGCCAGAUAACAAGAUUGCUGCAACUGCUGGCUGGGAUCACAGAGUGCGGAUAUAUAAUUAUCGAAAAGGAAAUCCUCUUGCUAUAUUGAAGUACCAUCAGGCCUUGUGUAAUGCUGUAUCAUACUCGGACGACUGUAAG